rnacentral:rRNA from 1 species
ACGCUCGACACCUACGGGAGCAGCAGUCGGGAAUAUUGCGCAAUGGAGGAAACUCUGACGCAGUGACGCCGCGUGCAGGAAGAAGGUUUUCGGAUUGUAAACUGCUUUAGACAGGGAAGAAAGAAAUGACAGUACCUGUAGAAUAAGCUCCGGCUAACUACGUGCCAGCGGCCGCGGUAAUCUGAGCGGGCUGGCAAGGC